rnacentral:rRNA from 1 species
AAACCGCUUAGGGGUUAAACCCGAUGAACCUGAAUAUCUGAAAUGGGAAAUUCAUCAGCGAGCAUAUAUAAUGUAUAUUGUAUAUGUUUUCUGUGCAAUUUUCUCAUAGUAAGACAUUGCAAUUUAUUAGUAAAUAUAUGGAUUUUAUUUAUCCUUAUGGUUUGUUAUAAGACAUUCACUAACAUGUUUAUAUGAUUUAGUUUACUGUAACAGGUAAACGGUCGUAUAAUGUUAAUAUGGUGUCUAAAUGAACAGCUGAUAAAUUUAUAAAUGAAAACUAUGCUAGUACAAUCGGUUUAUCGAUCGAUUGUGGUCACCUUGUCAUGCAAAAUUUUGUAUGCAAGCGUGUUAGCAUAUGUUUGAUUAGCAAUGCGAUAGAUUUGGGAUACCUUCGGGACCCGUCUUGAAACACGGACCAAGAAGUCUAACAUAUGUGCUAGUCAUUGGGUAACAUAUUGAAACCUAAAGGCGCAAUUAAUAUAACUAUAUAAUAUAUGGGAUUAGAAGUGGAUGUGUGCAAGCACAUUCAUUUUUCCAUCCCGGGGCGUCCGUUUAACAUAGUUUAAGCAAUUAAACUCACUGUUAAAGGGCGUACCUUGAGCAUAUAUGCUAU